GCUGGCGGCAGCGGAGGCGGCAGCGGCGGUGUAGUCGGCGGCUGUCCUCUUUCUUUCUCUCCUCUGUUUCUGUUCACCGUCACCUUGGGUCAGUUUUUUUUCGUUGUUCCCUCUCUCUGUUCUGCUACUCUUCUUCCUCUGUCUUCUUCUUCAGUUUCAUUCCUCUCUUCUACAAGCCCUCUCUCACGUUGUUCUCAGCUUUCUUCUCCCUUUCGGUCCCUCUCCAAAAGCUUGGUUCUCUCUCUCUCCCUCACGGUUUUCUUUCAAUAAUCUGUCAGCUCUCCCCUCUGUUUUUCUCUUCUUUUUUUUUUUUUUUCCCCUGCUGUUCUUCCUCCAUUUAUAGCCCGUGAGCAUGUGUUUUUUUCUUCUCAUCGUGGGGUCAUACGGCGGCUGGUCGGGCGUGGCUGUCCAGGCGUGCCUCCCUCAGUUUCGGCGGUGCGGUAGGUGGUCGGCCAAUCGGUGGGCUGGAGGGACCAACGCCAUAAAAUAUACAUUCUUUUUUUUUUUUCCUUCUUUACUGCUGCAUGUUAGGCGGGGAAGAAAGGGGAACAGUGCCGUUCAAAACGGCGCCCUUUUCUGUUUUUUUUUUUUUUUUUUUUUUUUUUUUUUUAGUAUGAAACGGCGUCGUUUUGGAUAAAACGCGCCGUUUCAUUUAAAAAUGGCGCCAGAACGCGCUAAAUUCCAAAUCAGCCCUCAAUCAUCUUUUUUCUUUUCAAUUGUGUCCCUACCAAUUUCGGUCCCUGACCCCAUAGUUGGCCGCGUUUUUCACUUUGGUCCUUGGCCUCUGAUUUAUGCAAUUUAGCCCUUAAUUGAUCAAUAAACUUCUAAUUUCUUCAAUUAGGCCCCUGAAUCAAUUCAAUACAGCUCCCUCUAUAUUCGCGCCUUUUCCAAAUUGGUCCCUGGUUUCGGAUUUUCGCAAUUAAACCCCUAAUUGGCCA
rnacentral:lncRNA from 1 species